CUGUGCACCAUGGGAAAGGGUGUGGUGCAGUGGGAAGCUAUCAGAGAAGGGUUUUGGGUGGGAGUUAGGUCAGGUUGGCAACAUGUUUCGGUUUCUCGUAAUGAAAGAAUGCCUUUGGUGUGGGUAUGGAAAGUAGACUGGCGGGAGGGUGUUGGAGCAGAAGGAGGGAGAUCUCUUAAGAGGAUAUGGUAGGGAUUCAGGCAAGAGACAAUGGCAGCCUGGACUAGAUGGGGACACAUUUGAGAUGUAUUUCAGGAGGCAGAAUCAUUAGAACAAGCUGAUGGACUGAUAUGGACUUUAAGGCGAGAGAGAGGGUAGAAACAAGGAUGUGUCCCUGGUCUAAAGCUCAGUUUCCUUAAGACACUGAAGACAAGAGGCCUGAACCAGACUCCCUGAGUUCAAAUCGAGACCAUCCCUCUUCCUAGCCCAGUGGCUAGUGACUCAAGUGACUCAACCCCCAAGGGCCUCCGUUUCCCCAUCGAUAAGAUAGAGUUCUUCCUUCACAGGGUUGUUGUGAGGUUUCAAUGAGUUAUUUUGGAUAAUGUGCUUGAUAGAAUACAUGAAUACAGCGAGCACUACGUGAAAAAAAGAAUUAUUGUCAUUAUUAUUAGUCUAUUGAUAGUUUUUCUGUCUGCCAUCAAGAGAUUGAGUCUCGCAAGGCAAACAAGUCUUGUUUGGAAAGAAAAUGUUCUGGAGCGAGUACCGCAGGCGUCCCUCUUUCCCUGUGUUUGUGUUCCCUUCCCCUGCGUGAGUUUGGCAGGAGAAGCUGUUCAAAAUAAACACAGGUCCGGUGCCCCAGAAAAUAUCAGGUUAGGCAGCACAGCAAAGGCCAGACACACACCCCUGUUGGACAGGACAGGAGCAAACAGGCUUGCUUUAUGCUGACCUCGCCAGCUCGCUGCGUCCCAGGGGCUGUCCAGCAGGGUGGGCCACUUUGGCAGGUGGGGCCAUCAUCUGCAACUCAUCACCUGUGUUGUCUGGUCCCUCUGCUGGUGUGGCAUGGAGUGAGUCACCACUGUCAUUCACCACUUCCUCGCCUGGACAUUGUGAUUCACAGGCUCUUGAACCUGAUAUCCAGGCAGCAAUAAGAGGCCUUUCACUGAGCCCUGCUUCCAGGCUGAGUUGGGGAAGGGGACACUGAGCCACCUUGCCCGGGUGCCCAAGCUGUGGCUGCCCAGAAUUCAGGCUCUUUCCUGUCAACUCAUCUGCUCGCAGAAUCAGAGGCCUAUGGGAGACAGUUAGGAAAACUGGGGUUUUCCUCUACUCUCCGUCCUCUUGCGGGGCCAGCACAAUGAAGGACGAGCAGAUGGACAAGUGGGCGAAUGGAGAGAUGGACAAGUGACCACCGCACACGGCAAUCAGAGAGGCAGACAGCUCCAGCCGAUGCAGGAGAACAGCAGCCCAGAGAGGUGCAGCCGGCAGCUAAAGAUGUAUUGAACUGCCCCUUGGUGUCCGAGCUGUACCGGGCCAUUCCGUACGAAAGGCCAUUGAACAGCACAAGACAUCUGCAAGGUGGGCUCCAGAGCGCUGCCCGUGUCCCACAGGCUCCAGACAUGUCAGAGCCUACGUGCACGGCCAUCUCCUUGGUUCUCCUCAGCUCCAUUUCACCUGGCUUGCCUAUUCCCAAGCCCUCAGUGACCUUUCUCAUCUCUUUCUCUCUUCCUUCACUUAUUCAUUUGAAACAGCUCUACCACUUGCUGGCUGUAUAGCCUUGGACAAAUUACUUAUCCUCUCUGGGCCUCAAUGUUAACAUCCGUCAAAUGUGGCUAACAAUGGCACCUCUUUCAUAGAGUCUUGAGUUGAUAGAAUGAAUUAGUAUAUGUGAAGCACAGUGCAUGAGGCACACUAUGUUCUAUAUAAGUGCUACCUGCAUAGAACCUACUAAAUGCUGGGCAGCUCACAGCAUUCCUCCUCUUCCUUCACUGGUGAUAUCCUGCCUCUGAUGUAGUUCAGUACUUGUGAGCAGGGGCUUUGAGCCAGAAGCACCUGGCUGAGGGGUUUGAGCUUGGUUAGAGGGUCCUGCCCUACCCUCUUCCCGUUUCUCUUAGGAAAUUCCAGAUCAUUUAACACCCCUCUUUUUUUUUUUUUUUUUCUAUUUCACUGGGCAUUAUACCCUCUGCGUCCAUCCAUGUUGUUUCAA